rnacentral:rRNA from 1 species
GGAUGAACGCUAGCUACAGGCUUAACACAUGCAAGUCGAGGGGCAGCAUGGUCUUAGCUUGCUAAGGCCGAUGGCGACCGGCGCACGGGUGAGUAACACGUAUCCAACCUGCCGUCUACUCUUGGACAGCCUUCUGAAAGGAAGAUUAAUACAAGAUGGCAUCAUGAGUCCGCAUGUUCACAUGAUUAAAGGUAUUCCGGUAGACGAUGGGGAUGCGUUCCAUUAGAUAGUAGGCGGGGUAACGGCCCACCUAGUCUUCGAUGGAUAGGGGUUCUGAGAGGAAGGUCCCCCACAUUGGAACUGAGACACGGUCCAAACUCCUACGGGAGGCAGCAGUGAGGAAUAUUGGUCAAUGGGCGAGAGCCUGAACCGGCCAAGUAGCGUGAAGGAUGACUGCCCUAUGGGUUGUAAACUUCUUUUAUAAAGGAAUAAAGUCGGGUAUGGAUACCCGUUUGCAUGUACUUUAUGAAUAAGGAUCGGCUAACUCCGUGCCAGCAGCCGCGGUAAUACGGAGGAUCCGAGCGUUAUCCGGAUUUAUUGGGUUUAAAGGGAGCGUAGAUGGAUGUUUAAGUCAGUUGUGAAAGUUUGCGGCUCAACCGUAAAAUUGCAGUUGAUACUGGAUAUCUUGAGUGCAGUUGAGGCAGGCGGAAUUCGUGGUGUAGCGGUGAAAUGCUUAGAUAUCACGAAGAACUCCGAUUGCGAAGGCAGCCUGCUAAGCUGCAACUGACAUUGAGGCUCGAAAGUGUGGGUAUCAAACAGGAUUAGAUACCCUGGUAGUCCACACGGUAAACGAUGAAUACUCGCUGUUUGCGAUAUACGGCAAGCGGCCAAGCGAAAGCGUUAAGUAUUCCACCUGGGGAGUACGCCGGCAACGGUGAAACUCAAAGGAAUUGACGGGGGCCCGCACAAGCGGAGGAACAUGUGGUUUAAUUCGAUGAUACGCGAGGAACCUUACCCGGGCUUAAAUUGCAGAUGAAUUACGGUGAAAGCCGUAAGCCGCAAGGCAUCUGUGAAGGUGCUGCAUGGUUGUCGUCAGCUCGUGCCGUGAGGUGUCGGCUUAAGUGCCAUAACGAGCGCAACCCUUGUUGUCAGUUACUAACAGGUUCUGCUGAGGACUCUGACAAGACUGCCAUCGUAAGAUGUGAGGAAGGUGGGGAUGACGUCAAAUCAGCACGGCCCUUACGUCCGGGACUACACACGUGUUACAAUGGGGGGUACAGAGGGCCGCUACCACGCGAGUGGAUGCCAAUCCCAAAAACCUCUCUCAGUUCGGACUGGAGUCUGCAACCCGACUCCACGAAGCUGGAUUCGCUAGUAAUCGCGCAUCAGCCACGGCGCGGUGAAUACGUUCCCGGGCCUUGUACACACCGCCCGUCAAGCCAUGGGAGCCGGGGGUACCUGAAGUGCGUAACCGCGAGGAGCGCCCUAGGGUA